ensembl:snRNA U6 U6 spliceosomal RNA
GUGCUUACUUUGCAGCAGAUAUACUGAAACUGAAAUGAUAAAGAGAAAAUAAAUAUGAACCCUAUGUGAAGAUGACAUGAAAAUUAAUGAAAUAUUCCACAUUUUA